CUCAGCCUGUGUGUUUUGAAGCAGCAACAGGUGUAGGGAGGAGAGGCUUUCUCCCUUUCACUCCGCCACCUCUUCCUUUUACAACUCUGACAACAGAGGCCUCCCCCAGCUGGGGCUCCCCCAACUGACCAGGAAUGACGCCCAGGUUGAGGGACAG